rnacentral:rRNA from 1 species
UAGCAUAUCAAUAAGCGGAGGAAAAGAAACCAACAGGGAUUGCCCUAGUAACGGCGAGUGAAGCGGCAACAGCUCAAAUUUGAAAUCUGGCUCUUUUAGAGUCCGAGUUGUAAUUUGCAGAGGGCGCUUUGGCUUUGGCAGCGGUCCAAGUUCCUUGGAACAGGACGUCACAGAGGGUGAGAAUCCCGUACGUGGUCGCUGGCUAUUGCCGUGUAAAGCCCCUUCGACGAGUCGAGUUGUUUGGGAAUGCAGCUCUAAAUGGGAGGUACAUUUCUUCUAAAGCUAAAUAUUGGCCAGAGACCGAUAGCGCACAAGUAGAGUGAUCGAAAGAUGAAAAGCACUUUGGAAAGAGAGUCAAACAGCACGUGAAAUUGUUGAAAGGGAAGCGCUUGCAGCCAGACUUGCUUACAGUUGCUCAUCCGGGUUUCUACCCGGUGCACUCUUCUGUAGGCAGGCCAGCAUCAGUUUGGGCGGUAGGAUAAAGGUCUCUGUCACGUACCUCCUUUCGGGGAGGCCUUAUAGGGGAGACGACAUACUACCAGCCUGGACUGAGGUCCGCGCAUCUGCUAGGAUGCUGGCGUAAUGGCUGUAAGCGGCCCGUCUUGAAACACGGACCAAGGAGUCUAACAUCUAUGCGAGUGUUUGGGUGUCAAGCCCGAGCGCGUAAUGAAAGUGAACGGAGGUGGGAACCCGCAAGGGUGCACCAUCGACCGAUCCUGAUGUCUUCGGAAGGAUUUGAGUAAGAGCAUGGCUGUUGGGACCCGAAAGAUGGUGAACUAUGCUUGAAUAGGGUGAAGCCAGAGGAAACUCUGGUGGAGGCUCGCAGCGGUUCUGACGUGCAAAUCGAUCGUCAAAUUUGGGCAUAGGGGCGAAAGACUAAUCGAACUAUCUAGUAGCUGGUUCUG